rnacentral:rRNA from 1 species
AGAUUGAACGCUGGCGGCAUGCUUUACACAUGCAAGUCGAACGGGGUGGUGGGCAACCCGCCAUUCAGUGGCGAACGGGUGAGUAAUGCAUCGGAACGUGUCCCGUAGUGGGGGAUAACCCGGCGAAAGCCGGACUAAUACCGCAUAUGCUCUACGGAGGAAAGCGGGGGACCUGGAAAGGGCCUCGCGCUAUGGGAGCGGCCGAUGUCCGAUUAGCUUGUUGGUGAGGUAAUGGCUCACCAAGGCGACGAUCGGUAGCUGGUCUGAGAGGAUGAUCAGCCACACGUGGGACUGACGACACGGCCCAGACCUCCGUAGGAGCAGCGAGGU